rnacentral:rRNA from 1 species
UACGGGGGGGGGGUAAGCGUUGUUCGGAAUUACUGGGCGUAAAGGGCUCGUAGGCGGCCAACUAAGUCAUACGUGAAAUCCCUCAGCUUAACUGGGGGAACUGCGUGUGAUACUGGAUGGCUUGGAUUUGGGAGAGGGAUGCGGAAUUCCAGGUGUAGCGGUGAAAUGCGUAGAUAUCUGGAGGAACACCGGGUGGCGAAGGCGGCAUCCUGGACCAAUAUUGACGCUGAGGAGCGAAAAGCCAGGGGAGCAAAGCGGG